rnacentral:rRNA from 1 species
UACGUAGGGGGCAAGCGUUAUCCGGAUUUAUUGGGUUUAAAGGGUGCGUAGGCGGACUGUCAAGUCAGCGGUAAAAUUGAGAGGCUCAACCUCUUCCCGCCGUUGAAACUGGCGGUCUUGAGUGGAUGAGAAGUACGCGGAAUGCGUGGUGUAGCGGUGAAAUGCAUAGAUAUCACGCAGAACUCCGAUUGCGAAGGCAGCGUACCGGCAUCCAACUGACGCUGAGGCACGAAAGCGUGGGGAUCAAACAGG